rnacentral:rRNA from 1 species
AGGGUAAGUCGACCCCUAAGGCGAGGCUGAAAAGCGUAGUCGAUGGGAAACGGGUUAAUAUUCCCGUACUUCUUACAAUUGCGAUGGGGGGACGGAGAAGGCUAGGUGGGCCUGGCGACGGUUGUCCAGGUUCAAGUGCGUAGGCUGAGUGUUUAGGUAAAUCCGGAUACUCUUAAGGCUGAGACACGACGUCGAGCUACUACGGUAGUGAAGUCAUUGAUGCCAUGCUUCCAGGAAAAGCCUCUAAGCUUCAGAUUGUAAGGAAUCGUACCCCAAACCGACACAGGUGGUCGGGUAGAGAAUACCAAGGCGCUUGAGAGAACUCGGGUGAAGGAACUAGGCAAAAUGGUACCGUAACUUCGGGAGAAGGUACGCUCUUGAUGGUGAAGUCCCUUGCGGAUGGAGCUGACGAGAGUCGCAGAUACCAGGUGGCUGCAACUGUUUAUUAAAAACACAGCACUGUGCAAAAUCGUAAGAUGACGUAUACGGUGUGACGCCUGCCCGGUGCCGGAAGGUUAAUUGAUGGGGUUAGCGCAAGCGAAGCUCUUGAUCGAAGCCCCGGUAAACGGCGGCCGUAACUAUAACGGUCCUAAGGUAGCGAAAUUCCUUGUCGGGUAAGUUCCGACCUGCACGAAUGGCGUAAUGAUGGCCACGCUGUCUCCACCCGAGACUCAGUGAAAUUGAAAUCGCUGUGAAGAUGCAGUGUACCCGCGGCUAGACGGAAAGACCCCGUGAACCUUUACUACAGCUUGGCACUGAACAUUGAACCUACAUGUGUAGGAUAGGUGGGAGGCUUUGAAGACGUGACGCCAGUUGCGUUGGAGCCGUCCUUGAAAUACCACCCUUGUAUGUUUGAUGUUCUAACGUUGGCCCCUAAUCGGGGUUGCGGACAGUGCCUGGUGGGUAGUUUGACUGGGGCGGUCUCCUCCCAAAGAGUAACGGAGGAGCACGAAGGUGGGCUAAUCACGGUUGGACAUCGUGAGGUUAGUGCAAUGGCAUAAGCCCGCUUAACUGCGAGAAUGACGGUUCGAGCAGGUGCGAAAGCAGGUCAUAGUGAUCCGGUGGUUCUGAAUGGAAGGGCCAUCGCUCAACGGAUAAAAGGUACUCCGGGGAUAACAGGCUGAUACCGCCCAAGAGUUCAUAUCGACGGCGGUGUUUGGCACCUCGAUGUCGGCUCAUCACAUCCUGGGGCUGAAGUCGGUCCCAAGGGUAUGGCUGUUCGCCAUUUAAAGUGGUACGCGAGCUGGGUUUAGAACGUCGUGAGACAGUUCGGUCCCUAUCUGCCGUGGGCGUUGGAAGAUUGAAGGGGGCUGCUCCUAGUACGAGAGGACCGGAGUGGACGAACCUCUGGUGUUCGGGUUGUGUCGCCAGACGCAUUGCCCGGUAGCUAAGUUCGGAAUCGAUAACCGCUGAAAGCAUCUAAGCGGGAAGCGAGCCCUGAGAUGAGUCUU